UAGCGAAGGGGGCUAGCGUUGUUCGGAAUCACUGGGCGUAAAGCGCACGUAGGCGGAUUGUUAAGUCGGGGGUGAAAUCCUGGAGCUCAACUCCAGAACUGCCUUUGAUACUGAAGAUCUUGAGUUCGGGAGAGGUGAGUGGAACUGCGAGUGUAGAGGUGAAAUUCGUAGAUAUUCGCAAGAACACCAGUGGCGAAGGCGGCUCACUGGCCCGAUACUGACGCUGAGGCGCGAAAGCUAGGGGAGCAAACGGG
rnacentral:rRNA from 1 species